CGAUCUGGCUCAGGAUGAACGCUAGCGAUAGGCCUAACACAUGCAAGUCGAGGGGCAGCACAUGAAGUAGCAAUACGGAUGGUGGCGACCGGCGCACGGGUGAGUAACGCGUAUGCAACCUACCUACAACAGGGGAAUAACUCGUUGAAAGACGGACUAAUACCCCAUAAUACAGGGAUCCCGCAUGGGAAUAUUUGUUAAAGAUUUAUCGGUUGUAGAUGGGCAUGCGUUCCAUUAGCUAGUUGGUGAGGUAACGGCUCACCAAGGCAACGAUGGAUAGGGGAACUGAGAGGUUUAUCCCCCACACUGGGACUGAAACACGGCCCAGACUCCUACGGGAGGCAGCAGUGGGGAAUAUUGCGCAAUGGGCGAAAGCCUGACGCAGCGACGCCGCGUGAGGGAUGAAGGUUUUCGGAUCGUAAACCUCUGUCAGAAGGGAAGAAACUGCCGUGCUCUAACCAUCAUGGCAUUGACGGUACCUUCAAAGGAAGCACCGGCUAACUCCGUGCCAGCAGCUGC
rnacentral:rRNA from 1 species